UGGUGCAUGGUUGUCGUCAGCUCGUGUCGUGAGAUGUUGGGUUAAGUCCCGCAACGAGCGCAACCCUUGUCUUUAGUUGCCAUCAUUAAGUUGGGCACUCUAGAGAGACUGCCAGGGAUAACCUGGAGGAAGGUGGGGAUGACGUCAAAUCAUCAUGCCCCUUAUGCUUAGGGCUACACACGUGCUACAAUGGGUAGUACAGAGGGUUGCCAAGCCGUAAGGUGGAGCUAAUCCCUUAAAGCUACUCUCAGUUCGGAUUGUAGGCUGAAACUCGCCUACAUGAAGCUGGAGUUACUAGUAAUCGCAGAUCAGAAUGCUGCGGUGAAUGCGUUCCCGGGUCUUGUACACACCGCCCGUCACACCACGGGAGUUGGAGACGCCCGAAGCCGAUU
rnacentral:rRNA from 1 species